rnacentral:rRNA from 1 species
CAGCCGCCGCGGUAAUACAGAGGGUGCGAGCGUUAAUCGGAUUUACUGGGCGUAAAGCGUGCGUAGGCGGCUAAUUGAGUCGGAUGUGAAAUCCCCGAGCUUAACUUGGGAAUUGCAUUCGAUACUGGUUAGCUAGAGUGUGGGAGAGGAUGGUAGAAUUCCAGGUGUAGCGGUGAAAUGCGUAGAGAUCUGGAGGAAUACCGAUGGCGAAGGCAGCCAUCUGGCCUAAUACUGACGCUGAGGUACGAAAGCAUGGGGAGCAAACAGGAUUAGAUACCCCGGUAGUCCCUGUCUCUUAUAU